GCUUUGGUAGCUAGCGAGGGCUUUGAGACGGCCGAGAGUUUGAGCGCCAAGGCUCUCUCUCCCCAGGGGACUCUGCAACCUGACUAGGUGCUCCUUCCCUGAGGUGUGUGCUCGACAAAGGUUGCUGAAAAAGUUCACGUUGAAAUUUUUUUUGAUGAUAAUAUCGUGUUACUCAUUUCCUUUGUUUCUUAGCAUAGUAACAUUCCAGGGAGCUGCCCGGGGAAGCUUAACGCUCGAUGCGGUAUGUAUUCUAUCUAGUAGCAUCUUGCAAAAAUAUAGUGAAAUAUCAAGGACUACCGAGACUGCUAUAUACGAUGGAAUUGCAAACCUUUCAGCUUAUGUGGUUAUUAAGUUAGCUGAACAUUGUAGUUUUGUUCCCAGAGAAGAUAUUUGCUAGCAUUCAACAUUUACCCCUUGCCAGUCUUUCGUGCAGUUCUGUAUUUCUCUAAGACUGCUUUUGCAUAUUACACCCUUACGGCCUUUAGUUUGAACAUUCUAUAUGUCUCUGAUUAUAAAGAUGUUGAAGCUAAGAGAUACUUGUUUACUUAGGCCUAAUGGCAGAAAGCAUCCUGGGGAACUUUCCAGGAUGUACAUAUAUAUACAUAGAAACGCUCAAUAUCCCCUGUUAUGGAUUCAAGAAACUGUGACUCCCCUGGGAAGACACAUUUAAGAGCGGACUACCUCGUGUAUUGAGCUUCUUCACAUUCCCAGUUAAUGUCUGAAAUAAGAAGUCAGAGACUUACCAGAAGGAACAGACCUUGGGGUGAGAGCUGAGGGAAGGGAGCUGCUUUCAUAAAAAACACCAAUCCGAUCAAAGCCAUACAUCCCACUAGCUGGCAUAAGAAAGCCUAUAGCUUUCUAUAGAAGAUAUGAGUCAGAAAUACAAGGAAAGAG
rnacentral:lncRNA from 1 species